rnacentral:rRNA from 1 species
AGCGAACGCUGGCGGCAGGCUUAACACAUGCAAGUCGAGCGGGCCCUUCGGGGUCAGCGGCAGACGGGUGAGUAACACGUGGGAACGUACCCUUUGGUUCGGAAUAACGCUGGGAAACUAGCGCUAAUACCGGAUACGCCCUUUUGGGGAAAGGCUUGCUGCCGAAGGAUCGGCCCGCGUCUGAUUAGCUAGUUGGUGGGGUAAUGGCCUACCAAGGCGACGAUCAGUAGCUGGUCUGAGAGGAUGAUCAGCCACACUGGGACUGAGACACGGCCCAGACUCCUACGGGAGGAAGCAGUGGGGAAUAUUGGACAAUGGGCGCAAGCCUGAUCCAGCCAUGCCGCGUGAGUGAUGAAGGCCUUAGGGUUGUAAAGCUCUUUUGCCCGGGACGAUAAUGACGGUACCGGAAGAAUAAGCCCCGGCUAACUUCGUG